GAUGAACGCUGGCGGCGUGCCUAAUACAUGCAAGUCGAGCGAACAGACGAGGAGCUUGCUCCUCUGACGUUAGCGGCGGACGGGUGAGUAACACGUGGAUAACCUACCUAUAAGACUGGGAUAACUUCGGGAAACCGGAGCUAAUACCGGAUAAUAUAUUGAACCGCAUGGUUCAAUAGUGAAAGACGGUUUUGCUGUCACUUAUAGAUGGAUCCGCGCCGCAUUAGAUAGUUGGUAAGGUAACGGCUUACCAAGGCAACGAUGCGUAGCCGACCUGAGAGGGUGAUCGGCCACACUGGAACUGAGACACGGUCCAGACUCCUACGGGAGGCAGCAGUAGGGAAUCUUCCGCAAUGGGCGAAAGCUUGACGGAGCAACGCCGCGUGAGUGAUGAAGGUCUUCGGAUCGUAAAGCUCUGUUAUUAGGGAAGACCAAAUGUGUAAGUAACUAUGCACGUCUUGACGGUACCUAAUCAGAAAGCCACGGCUAACUACGUG
rnacentral:rRNA from 1 species